GAUGAACGCUGGCGCCGUGCCUAAUACAUGCAAGUCGAGCGAACAGACGAGGAGCUUGCUCCUCUGACGUUAGCGGCGGACGGGUGAGUAACACGUGGAUAACCUACCUAUAAGACUGGGAUAACUUCGGGAAACCGGAGCUAAUACCGGAUAAUAUAUUGAACCGCAUGGUUCAAUAGUGAAAGACGGUUUUGCUGUCACUUAUAGAUGGAUCCGCGCCGCAUUAGCUAGUUGGUAAGGUUACGGCUUACCAAGGCAACGAUGCGUAGCCGACCUGAGAGGGUGAUCGGCCACACUGGAACUGAGACACGGUCCAGACUCCUACGGGAGGCAGCAGUAGGGAAUCUUCCGCAAUGGGCGAAAGCCUGACGGAGCAACGCCGCGUGAGUGAUGAAGGUCUUCGGAUCGUAAAACUCUGUUAUUAGGGAAGAACAAAUGUGUAAGUAACUAUGCACGUCUUGACGGUACCGAAUCAGAAAGCCACGGCGAACUACGU
rnacentral:rRNA from 1 species